UACGGAGGGGGUUAGCGUUGUUCGGAAUUACUGGGCGUAAAGCGCGCGUAGGCGGACUAUUAAGUCAGGGGUGAAAUCCCGGGGCUCAACCCCGGAACUGCCUUUGAUACUGGUAGUCUUGAGUUCGAGAGAGGUGAGUGGAAUUCCGAGUGUAGAGGUGAAAUUCGUAGAUAUUCGGAGGAACACCAGUGGCGAAGGCGGCUCACUGGCUCGAUACUGACGCUGAGGUGCGAAAGCGUGGGGAGCAAAC
rnacentral:rRNA from 1 species